rnacentral:miRNA from 1 species
UGUAUGCUUAUAUGUGUGUUCAUGCUGUGUCUGCUUGCAAACACACCCAUACACACACACACAUACACACACAUAUACACACACACA